GUAGUGGUGAUUCAGUGGUAGAAUGCUCACCUUCCUUGUGGGAGAUCCUGGUUUGAUUCCCAGCCAAUACA
rnacentral:tRNA from 1 species